GAACUGACGGGGAGUUCUGCUUACUCAGUAGCCUGGCCAGUCACCAGGUCUCAAUUCAAUUGAGCAUCUGUAGGAUGAGAUGAAACAAGCUAUUCGGAGUAAAGAUCCACUUCCAGCCAACAGCUGAACUCCCCGUCAGUUCACUGUCACUGGACAAUCCUAGCCUUGUGGCAUGGGGCAGGGCGUGACACCUCUAUGACACUGGGCCUGUUUUUCAUGGUUUUUGCUAAGCCCCUUCGUUCCAGUGAAGGAAAUCAUAACGCUACAGCAUAGAACGACAUUCUAGACAAUUCUGUGCUUCCAACUUUGUGGCAACAUUUUGGGAAGGCCCUUUCCUGUUUCAGCAUGACAAUGCCCCCGUGCACAAAGUAAAAAGUAAGCGAUAAGAAAAAUAAAUAAUAAAAGAGCAGCAGUAAAUAACAAUAGCGGGGGCUAUAUACAGGGGGUACCGGUACAGAGUCAAUGUGCAAUGGUGUUUGUGCAACAGAGUCAAUGUCUCCAGAGUCCAAUGGUGGCGAGCUUUACACCACUCCAGCCGACGCUUGGCAUUGCACAUGGUGAUCUUAGGCUUGUGUGCAGCUGCUUGGCCUUGGAAACCCAUUUCAUGAAGCUCCCUACGAACAGUUGUUGUGCUGACGUUGCUUCCAGAGACAGUUUGGAACUCGGUAGGGAGUGUUGCAACCGAGGACAGGCGAUUUUUACACGCUAUGCGCUACCACUUUGCGGCUGUGUGGCCUACCACUUUGCACCUGUGUGGCCUGCCACUUUGCGGCUGUGUGGCCUACCACUUUGCGGCUGUGUGGCCUACCACUUUGCGGCUGUGUGGCCUACCACUUUGCGGCUGUGUGGCCUACCACUUUGUGGCUGUGUGGCCUACCACUUUGCGGCUGUGUGGCCUACCACUUUGCAACUGAGCAGUUGUUGCUCUCAGAUGUUUCCACUUCACAAUAACAGCACCUACAGUCGACCGGGGCAGCUCCAGCAGGGCAGAAAUUUUACAAUUUACGAUUUGUUGAAAAGGAGGCAUCUUUUGACGGUGCUACGUUGAAAGUCACUGAGCUCUUCAUUAAGGCCAUUCUACUGCCAAUGUUUGUUUAUGGAGAUUGAAUGGCUGUGUGCUCGAUUUUAUACAUCUGUCAGCAACGGGUGUGGCUGAAAUAGCCAAAUCCACUAAUUUGAAGGGAUGUCCACUUUUGAAUAUAUAGUGUACAUGGUUUUUGUUCAACUUUUUGUUUUCAGGUCUUCUUGAUUCUGGGUUUGUUGAGUUCAGGUCUUCUGGGUUUGUUGUGUUCAGGCGUUCUUGGUUCUGGGUUUGUUGAGGUCAGGUCUUCUUGGUUUGUUGAGUUCAGGUGUUCUUGGUUCUGGGUUUGUUGUGUUCAGGUCUUCUUGGUUCUGGGUUUGUUGUGUUCAGGUCUUCUUGGUUCUGAAUUUGUUGUGUUCAGGUCUUCUUGGUUCUGGGUUUGUUGAUUCUACUGUAGAUCUCAGAGGGGUCCUUCUCAGCUGUUUGUG
ensembl:lncRNA